rnacentral:rRNA from 1 species
AUACGGAGGGUGCAAGCGUUAUCCGGAAUCACUGGGUUUAAAGGGUACGUAGGCGGCUAAAUAAGUCAGAGGCGAAAGCCCGGCGCUCAACGUCGGAAUUGCCUUUGAUACUGUUUAACUUGAAUUAGGUUGAGGUGGGCGGAAUGUGGCAUGUAGCGGUGAAAUGCAUAGAUAUGCCAUAGAACACCAAUUGCGAAGGCAGCUCACUGGCCCUAUAUUGACGCUGAGGUACGAAAGCGUGGGGAGCGAACAGGAUUAGAAACCCCAGUAGUCC